rnacentral:rRNA from 1 species
GACGGAGGCCCCGAGCGUUGUUCGGAAUUACUGGGCUUAAAGCGCGUGUAGGCGGGUCGGUAAGUGCUUUGUGAAAGCCCCGGGCUCAACCCGGGAAUUGCUUGGCAUACUGCCGGUCUUGAGGCAGGUAUGGGUCACUGGAACCUUAGGUGUAGCGGUGAAAUGCGUAGAUAUCUAAGGGAACGCCGGUGGCGAAAGCGGGUGACUGGGCCUGUCCUGACGCUGAGACGCGAAAGCGUAGGGAGCAAAC